GACGAACGCUGGCGGCGUGCUUAACACAUGCAAGUCGAACGGUGACCCUCGGAGCUUGCUUCGGGGUGAGCAGUGGCGAACGGGUGAGUAACACGUGAGUAACCUGCCCCUGACUCUGGAAUAAGCGCUGGAAACGGCGUCUAAUACCGAAUACGACACGCCUCCGCAUGGGGAGCGUGUGGAAAGUUUUUCGGUCUGGGAUGGACUCGCGGCCUAUCAGCUUGUUGGUGAGGUAAUGGCUCACCAAGGCGAUGACGGGUAGCCGGCCUGGGAGGGGGACCGGCCACACUGGGACUGAGACACGGCCCAGACUCCUACGGGAGGCAGCAGUGGGGAAUAUUGCACAAUGGGCGAAAGCCUGAUGCAGCGACGCCGCGUGAGGGAUGACGGCCUUCGGGUUGUAAACCUCUUUCAGCAGGGAAGAAGCGAAAGUGACGGUACCUACAGAAGAAGCACCGGCUAACUACGUGCCAGCCGCCGCGGUAAGAC
rnacentral:rRNA from 1 species